UGUUAGUGUGUCAUUUCUUGGAUUAUAUUGUAAUAUCUAGUUACGUAUGAUUCUGUAUUAGGAAUAUAUAGUGAAUGGGGAUAUUGUUUUUGCCAUCUUUCUAAGUGUAAAGGUUUGACAACUGGAUUAAGUAGUGAUAUAGUGAAGUAGGAUUCCAACUUUUGUCUGCUGAGUGUGGCGUUGUGCCUUUGAUACUGUGGUUGGAUGCUGGAUUAGCAACUGAGUUAUAUCAUUCUUGUUCUUUGCACGUCUGCAGGUUGCACUUCUAUUUUAUUUCUUCGCUGGUUGCACUAGCUUAACGUAGUUGAGCAUUGUCCUUACUCCUCUCUGUAUUUUUCUUCUAUUGGAACAAAAAAAAUUUUCAAAUGCGUUGGUUACUUAAGGCGCGCUGUUAAUAAAUAAUUCGUGACUACGAGUACGGGUUCUGUAGCGUAGUUGUGAUACCUAAUUAGUUUUAAAGAUGAAUAUCCGUAGUUCUUUUAAUUGGAUGCAUUUCAUUUGAAAGAAAUUGAGGUGUGCCAUGCCAAAUAAAACUCCUAAGGCCUUGGCCCAUAUUUAAUUAAUUAACUCUAUAGAAAUUGAGGCCUGCCAUUAGCGAAUUAUCUAUAGCCCUCGUAAAGUUGGAAGUGCAUAGUUUCUUUUGGUGCGCGAUUUAAAAAAAAAAUUAAUUACCUUCCUAAACUCGGGUGUUCAUUUCAUGUGACGCACAUCCAGAUCUCCCAACGUUAAAUAAAAUGUGUCUUGGAUUGCGGGUACAUUUCAUGUGGCGCGCUCUAAAGAUGCGUUUUAGAUGAAGUUGAAAUCUUCUUUAAAAUUAAUUAUAAGCGGUAAAUAACUUAAAAUUGCACUAUAGGUUUGAACAUGUACUAAAAUCAGAGAAAAGGCCAAUUAUAAUAGUUUAAGCGAUCGCGCUAGAACCAUAGAAUCUGGGGGUGCCUAACACCUUCCCUCGAGUUAACAGAAUUCCUUAUUCAGAAUUUCUGGUUCGUAGACUUCACAUGGAAAGUCGAAAUUUUCCUCGAUUUGGGACACAAAAAUCCAAGCCUAUCCAAGUGGCGACUCUGAAAUAAAUAAAUAAUCCUAUUUCGAAUAAUGUCACUUUAAAUGGAAAAACUCCCUUAUACACUAUCAUUCAGGGUGGUGUGUAAAAAAGGAGGUGUGACAUAUGUAUUUGAUAGAUCUUUUGAUUUAAGGCUUAGAUGUUUAUAGGUAGUUGAUAUUUGGAUUGAUUUGUGUUUUCCAUAUUGAAUUGGUGGUUGCAAAUACUAAUUUGUGCAACUGUGACUUGAAUUCUUCUUUAGAAAGAGAACUUGAGUCUAGAAAAAUCAGUCCAACAAGAAAUUGGGGUGUAAUCAAGAGAUUGAUAGCCCCAAUUGAAGGGUUAAGCCUAGAGAUAGUAAUACCCGACUUGAGCCUAUAUUGCUUGCACAAGUUUGACAACCAAUUGGUCUUGAGAAAGUCAAUUAGGGCAAAGUCACUCAAGCUACCUAGAGGUAUAGAGUGAGUAAUUCUGUGCAUUGGCUAUAUCGCAAUCCCAACAUAACUUCAUUGCCUUAGGCUUUAGAUCCCGUCAAGUAUUCACCUAGGAAAAAGUCACUUCCCUAGUGCCUCUUUAACUAUUUAAAAAAUCUUGCAAGUAAUCAUUCUUAGUUUAAUAUAGCAUAUCAUUAGCACAAGUAUUAGAAGUAAUAACCAACCAAAAGAUGAUUGGAAGAGUAAUUAAGAGCACUAUGCAUCACUAGUUUAGAUAGGAAUCCAAUUCCCAUUUCUAGCUCCACGUGGAUUUGAUCCCGUCCAAAAUUUAGCAUGCGAUGCCUUUGCCUCUCGAAUCGGCCUCCGGAUGCCCAAAUCUAACCAAAAUCAGUGCAAAAUCAUCAAAAUAUGCUAAGGGAACAAAUCUCACUCGAAAGAAAUCAAAUUACAACACAAAUCUCGAAAAUGGCCAAACCCGACCCCCGGGCCCACGUCUCGGAAUCUAAAAAAAUUACAUCAACAGACUCUUUAUCACUCCCCGAGUUUACUCAUAUC
rnacentral:lncRNA from 1 species